AAGUUUUCAUUUAAACAAAGUGUUUGUGGUCAUUUCUUCAAUCAUCCCAGAUUACUCCAAAAGGUUAUGUGCUAGAGUGCACGCUUAUGCUGGGCACGAAUGAGCGGAAAAUUAGACGACAGUAAAUUUAGAAGCAGGACCGGCAACGAUUUUAAGACGAUCAGUACUUGGUAUAGUGUGCAUGUGUUGCCACUCGCUCUCGAUGUAUUCCCAUUUGCUGUGCAUGGGAUAUGAUGCAGACGAGAUGUACAAAGGAAGUCUGCAUAAUAGGGACAGAACGCAGAUUUAAUUGAAAGCAAAUAGGCAAAUUCUAAGUCGUUUUCGGUUCGAUACGCGCGCGCGGCCCCUCAAUCUCCAUGUAUUUCCAUUUGCUGUGCGUGGGGUCUGACGGAGAUGAGGUGCGUGUGCUGUUGCCGGGACGAGUAAUAGAAGAAAAUGGAACCGAUCAAAAACUCGUUGGACGAUGGGUUAAAAUUAACAGACACUCAAAUCCAAGAAAUAGAAGCAGUAAACAUGGAAGUAGAUGAAAAUAAUGAUGUAGAAGAAAAACAAGAAACAUCACAGGACAAGGGAAAAUCAUUAGAGGAAGGACAUAAAACUUCAGAAGCAAAAAGAGACGAGAAAGAAGAGACGAUUCAUACAAUGACAAACCUAAAAUAAAGGAU